AUAUAACUAAGCGGAGGAAAAGAAACUAACCAGGAUUCCCGUAGUAACGGCGAGUGAAGUGGGAAAAGCUCAGACUGAAAAUCUUCGGAGUUGUGGUCUGGAGAAGAUGUAGACAUGGGGGUAGAUCCUAGUAAAAUCGUCUGGAAAGGCGUGCCAAGGAGGGUGACAGCCCCGUUCAUACUAGGGUCGAGUCCGUUCUACUCUUCCAUGAGUCGAGUUGUUUGGGAUUGCAGCUCUAAUCGGGUGGUAAAUUCCAUCUAAAGCUAAAUAUGGGUAGGAGACCGAUAGCGCACAAGUA
rnacentral:rRNA from 1 species